GUGUGUAUGCGAGGGAGUAAGUGGGAAAGAGCAAGAGCAGGCGUGAGAGCAGAGCACCCCUCCUAAUGUCGCUAGACAAGCACCGCGAAUCCUCUCUACGCCCUAGCCUUCUCCCUCCCGCCGCAUGAAUGGGAGCGAGCGUAGGUUUUGAGCACGAUCAUGCACUGCACUCAAUAGAUUUUCGCUCUAAAGCUCUUCGCUCUCGCUCAACUAGUUUCGUGAGUAGUUUCUGUGUGGUUUCUAUUUGAGCGCUUUCUCUAUCUCUCCGAUACUCUCCUAUUCGUGUAUCUAGCGCUCUCGAGUGCUGGAAAACUAGCAAUGUAAGUUUUCGAGCUGAGUCGCGCUGCUCGGCAAAAUAGUUUCGUCGCUAGAUCACGGUGCGGCAUUUUCCAGCGCCGUUUAGUUUUGAGUGUGACUCGUCGGGCUUUGGAUCUGUUCCGCGGACAUGGACGUCCCAUGUCCCAUAUGGACUCCUUCUCGUUGGAGUUCCUUUUUAGUCUUUUGUUUUAUGCCUGUGCCUGUGCCUGUGCUUGUGAUUGUGGCCGGUACCCCCACCCCACCCCAUCCGAAGGGGAAGGGGAAGUGGGUGAUUUGUGUUUUUUUCGAGCGCGUUUGCUGUCGUCAUCGGCUGCGUCGCCGCUGCUGCAGCCGUUGCUCGGGGCUUUGAACUGUGGCUGGCGCGUUCAACGGCUUCUCCGCCUGUCGUCGGGAAGCGUGUAACUCCGAAACGAACCGUUCCGUUCGUUCCAUUAUCGCUCGAGCGAGCGAGCCGCCUGAUAGCCGUCGUCCCCCUGGUCGCCCGCUUCCAAUCAGUCAAUUGUCGUCCCUCUCCUCCUCCCCCUCCCCCUCCCCGUCUCCCACUAAUGAACAUUGAACUGCAAAUUGCAAAAACGUACCAAAAUAACAAACAAACGACGUUGUCGCUGACUGCUCUAGCGGGACUACCUCCUCUUCGCGCUCGUCUGAUUGCUCGUGGGGAUGGGGUACAUUAACCUUGCGUCCAAAACUCUCUGCUGCUGCUACUCCCACUCGUCUCGCUAUCGAUGUCUUCUAUCUGUCAGAGAUCACUAUGGAUAAAGAUCCCUAAAGGCUUAACUUAAAAUUUGCGUAAUU
rnacentral:misc_RNA from 1 species